ACCCCCUGAUGAUGGGCAAAGAGCAUCUCACUAGUGGUCGUGUUCUUAUAUCAGUUAGGGGCAGAACAGGUGGGAGCCGUUUGUUCAUCCUAGCUUGAUGCCUGCUUAGAGGCCAAAGCUGUUUCAUGCCCAGGGCACAAUC